rnacentral:lncRNA from 1 species
CUUAUCACAUCAAAUCCCAAGAUAUCCUGCACGCUUGGAUUGGUUCAAAUAAUGCUCUCAUCAAAAUAACCACCAUUAUAUAUAUAACUAUAUAGUCUGGGAUAUUUUUGCACGACAUAGGCUGAUGGGUAUGCAGACUAUAUAGCCUACAUAUAUAUAACUUGUAGCUUUUCACACGACAUGCAAGUCUUCCAUCAUCUGACAACAUCCUAGCCCGCUUAGGUCUCCUAUCCACCAUUAUCUUCGGCUUGCAGAUCCAUGUUAGGCCAAGUGAAGAGUCCAAGAAUCUCUAUAAUUUAUUUUGUACAAGAAAACUAAGAUAAUUUAUUAAAAGAUAAUUAUUAUGAUUAAAAACCAUAAUAUUAUCUCUUAAUAAUAGCAAAUUAUCUUAAAUUUCUUAUCCGACGAUUAAGAACCAUGUUUACUCAACGACCUCAAUUGCUUGGGCCGACGGUGUAAAAUCAGGUCCAAACAUUGCCCCCUAGUUUCCUUGAGCUUCGACUCGUAAACCGAAUGGUUAAGGAAAUUAAGUGUUCGUAGCCGACAACAUUUCGUCUUAUUUUUGAAACAAAUUUUGUUCCUCGGCAAUAACAUGUAUGUUCUGCCAAUGUCGUGAUCUCCUUCUGCUAAUUCACCGUUUGUCUCUUCCAUGCAUAUGCAUGCAUUCUACUUUAACAUCUGAUGGGUCAAGGUCGAGAGUACAAUAAGGCCGAGAAGAACUAGGGCCAAGAUUGAUAAAACCCGUUCCUGAAGCUCGGCCUGCCUAUAAGUACAGAUAUAUAAAAGUACAUGAUUGUUUGAUGUGACCUGCCAGCCAUGCAGCUGCCAUAUAUAUAAACGGGAUCCUGGCCGUGCACACACACAUUUAUAAAAUGAACCUGUGCUUAGCACCAGUCCUUCGAGCUCGGCAUGUGUGAUCCCACUCUUUUCUUCUCGGUAGUGGCAUCUUGAUGUAAGCCAUAAACCCAAAUCCUGACAUGAUGCCAUCUGCCAUGCAUAUCUCCAUCAUG